UAGUAAAUUUUACGCCAAAAUAGUUUUUCGCCAAAACAAACGUGCCAAAAUAGUUUUCCCCGUUCUAUUACUUUUUCGGUUUUCCCCAAUUUCUUAGUUUCCACUGCAACUAGGUUUUCUCUUUUCAUUAUUUUGCUAAACUAAGAUCUUGCAUCUGGUGUUCAAUUCUUCGAUCUCUUCCACUGUGUUCAACCUCAGAAUCUGAUUCAGGUAUUUCUGAGCUUGGCGGCAGUUUCAUCGGAGAUAGCAAGGUAGCUGCCUGGCGAUCACGGCUCUGCUUUCUCCCUCUUUAUUCUUCCUUAUGUAUUCUUGUGACUUUUCCUGACCCUAUUGGUCUUGAUGUGGUUAAACAACUGUAGUAGAUGCUUAUGACUAGUGACACCCCGAUGUAGGGCUUGUAUGUUA